GACGUAGGGCGCGAGCGUUGUCCGGAAUUAUUGGGCGUAAAGAGCUCGUAGGCGGUUCGUCGCGUCGGCUGUGAAAACCCGGAGCUCAACUCCGGGCCUGCAGUCGAUACGGGCGGACUUGAGUGUUGCAGGGGAGACUGGAAUUCCUGGUGUAGCGGUGAAAUGCGCAGAUAUCAGGAGGAACACCGGUGGCGAAGGCGGUUCUCUGGGCCUUACCUGACGCUGAGGAGCGAAAGCGUGGGGAGCGAACAGG
rnacentral:rRNA from 1 species